AGUGAACGCUGGCGGUAGGCCUAACACAUGCAAGUCGAACGGCAGCACAGUAAGAGCUUGCUCUUACGGGUGGCGAGUGGCGGACGGGUGAGGAAUACAUCGGAAUCUACUUUUUCGUGGGGGAUAACGUAGGGAAACUUACGCUAAUACCGCAUACGACCUACGGGUGAAAGCAGGGGAUCUUCGGACCUUGCGCGAUUGAAUGAGCCGAUGUCGGAUUAGCUAGUUGGCGGGGUAAAGGCCCACCAAGGCGACGAUCCGUAGCUGGUCUGAGAGGAUGAUCAGACACACGGGAACUGAGACACGGUCCAGACUCCUACGGGAGGCAGCAGUGGGGAAUAUUGGACAAUGGGCGCAAGCCUGAUCCAGCCAUACCGCGUGGGUGAAGAAGGCCUUCGGGUUGUAAAGCCCUUUUGUUGGGAAAGAAAAGCAGCAGGUUAAUACCCCGCUGUUCUGACGGUACCCAAAGAAUAAGCACCGGCUAACUUCGUG
rnacentral:rRNA from 1 species